GGGGGGAGUUGUACAGAAAACUCAAGUGGAGUGGCGCUGAAUACCGUCUCGGCUCGGCUAUAAAUAAUAAACACUCCCAAAUAAUCAUAAGGAAGGUGGAUCAGGAAGGUUGAUUAAGUGAUUGAUCAGGAAGGUGGAUCAGGAAGGUGGAUCAGGAAGAUGGAUCAGGAAGGUUGAUUAGGAAGGUGGAUCAGGAAGGUUGAUUAGGAAGGUGGAUCAGGAAGGUUGAUUAGGAAGGUGGAUCAGGAAGGUUGAUCAGGAAGGUGGAUCAGGAAGGUUGAUUAGGAAGGUGGAUCAGGAAGGUUGAUUAGGAAGGUGGAUCAGGAAGGUUGAUUAGGAUGGUGGAUUAGGAAGGUUGAUAAGGAAGGUGGAUCAGGAGGUUGAUUAGGAAGGUGGAUCAGGAAGGUUGAUUAGGAAGGUGGAUCAGGAAGGUUGAUUAGGAAGGUGGAUUAGGAAGGUUGAUCAGGAAGGUUGAUUAGGAAGGUUGAUUAGGAAGGUGGAUCAGGAAGGUUGAUUAGGAAGGUGAAUCAGGAAGGUUGAUUAGGAAGGUGGAUCAGGAAGGUUGAUUAGGAAGGUGGAUCAGGAAGGUUGAUUAGGAGAUUGAUCAGGAAGGUGGAUCAGGAAAGUGGAUAAGGAAGGUUUAUAGGGAUGUGGAUCAGGAAGGUGGAUUAGGAAGAUGGAUCAGGAAGGUGGAUUAGGAAGGUUGAUCAGGGACGUGGAUAUGGAAAGUAGAUCAGGAUCGAAGGCGAAUCAUUAAGGUUGAUCAGGAUAGUGGAUCAGGGAAGUGGAUCAUAGGAAGGUAGAUCAGGGACGUUGAUAAGGAAUGUGGAUCAGGGACGUGGAUCAGGAAGGUGGAUUAGGGACGUGGAUAAGGGACGUGGAUAUGGAAAGUAGAUCAGGAUCGAAGGUGAAUCAGUAAGGUUUAUCAGGAUAGUGGAUCAGGGAAGUGGAUCAUAAGAAGGUGGAUCAGGGACGUGGUUAAGAAAGGUAGAUCAGGAUCGAAGGUGGAUCAGUAAGGUUGAUCAGGAAAGUGGAUCAGGGAUGUGGAUCAGGAAGGUGGAUAAGGAAGGUAGAUCAGGAUCAAAGGUGGAUCAGGAAGGUGGAUCAGGAAGUUGGAUCAGGAAGGUGGAUCAAGAACGUUGAUCCGGAAGUUGGAUCAGGAAGGUGGAUCAGGGAAGUGGAUCAGGAAGGUGGAUCAGGGAAGCGGAUCAGGAAGGUGGAUCAGGUAAGCGGAUCAGGAAGGUGGAUCAGGAGAGUGGAUCAGGAAAGCGGAUCAGGAAGGUGGAUCAGGGAAGUGGAUCAGGAAGGUGGAUCAGGGAAGUGGAUCAGGAAGGUGGAUCAGGGAAGCGGAUCAGGGAGUCGGUUCGGGGAGAUGGAUCAAAGGGGGAAAGUGCUCACCUUUUUUAAAAUCCUCGUAAUUGAGGAAAAAAAUGUCCGAAUUGUUUCUACAUCUCCACCAGCUGAGCACAUGGUCAAAUCACAGGCCAUAAUGUACUGUAAAAAAAGAAAAAGCACGACACAUGUUUAUUUAUUUGUGAUAGGAGAUGAUAGGACAUUAAAUGUCUGAAAGGAAAACUU